rnacentral:rRNA from 1 species
AUACGUAUGGUGCAAACGUUGUUGGGAAUCACUGGGCGUAAAGCGCGCGUAGGCGGUUUUGUAAGUCGGAUGUGAAAGCCCCGGGCUUAACCUGGGAACUGCAUUCGAUACUGCUUGACUAGAGUAUGGUAGAGGGAAGUGGAAUUCCGGGUGUAGCGGUGAAAUGCGUAGAUAUCCGGAGGAACACCAGUGGCGAAGGCGGCUUCCUGGACCAAUACUGACGCUGAGGUGCGAAAGCGUGGGGAGCAAACAGGAUUAGAUACCCCGGUAGUCC